GACGUAGGGCGCGAGCGUUGUCCGGAAUUACUGGGCGUAAAGAGCUCGUAGGUGGUUUGUCGCGUUGUUCGUGAAAACUCACAACUCAAUUGUGGGCGUGCGGGCGAUACGGGCAGACUGGAGUACUGCAGGGGAGACUGGAAUUCCUGGUGUAGCGGUGGAAUGCGCAGAUAUCAGGAAGAACACCCGUGGCGAAGGCGGCUCUCUGGGACGGUACUGACGCUGAGACGCGAAAGCGUGGGGAGCGAACAGG
rnacentral:rRNA from 1 species